UAGGGAAUCUUCCGCAAUGGGCGAAAGCCUGACGGAGCAACGCCGCGUGAGUGAUGAAGGUCUUCGGAUUGUAAAACUCUGUUAUUAGGGAAGAAAAAAUGUGUAAGUAACUAUGCAUGUCUUGACGGUACCUAAUCAGAAAGCAACGGCUAACUACGUGCCAGCAGCCGCGGUAAUACGUAGGUGGCAAGCGUUAUCCGGAAUUAUUGGGCGUAAAGCGCGCGUAGGCGGUUUUUUAAGACUGAUGUGAAAGCCCAAGGCUCAACCGUGGAGGGGCAUUGGAAACUGGACAUCUUGAGUGCAGAAGAGAAAGGUGGAAUUCCAUGUGUAGCGGUGAAAUGCGCAGAGAUAUGGAGGAACACCAGUGGCGAAGGCGACUUUCUGGUCUGUAACUGACGCUAAUGUGCGAAAGCGUGGGGAUCAAACAGG
rnacentral:rRNA from 1 species